GAAAGAAAGAAAGAAAAAAAGAAAGGAGUCUCUUGUCUUUAAAUGAAGUUAAUACAUGGAAUUAACUGAUUUUUCAUCUAAAUAACUGAAGUAUUCACAUAUGUGAUCAAUACAAGGAUUGAAUUUUCACAACUAUUUUAAAUUCUAACUAAAGCAAUAAAAAUCUAGUAAUAAGCACACAAGUCAGAAACAAAUAUUCAAAAAAUAUGCUCAUAGCAUAAAACAUCACCUUAUAAAAUAUAAGAAAAUUAAAUUUAAAAAUGUAUAUAAUUUUUAAAGGGGAUAUAUAUGAUUAAUUUUGUUAUAUCAAGUUAAGGACUUGCUUUAAAUUUAUAGUUUUCAUGCAGAAACUAUUACAGAUACCUCAUAUUCUAGAAUGUUUCCAAUUUAUAGUUGAAUUCACUUGUCCUUUAAUUUGUCUUAUUUUAUUUUUUUGAAGAAUUGCAUUUAUUUCUUUAUAAAAUUUCUGAGCAGUUAUUGUUACAUGCAAAUCCUGGAUAUUAAUGUUCAUUUCACUCUUGUGUUCAUAGUAAAUAGAUGUUCCAUCUAUUUCAGUAUUGUUAUUUUAACAUGUAGUUUGUACUACUGAUUCUGAAUCUCACCAUGCUGCUCGCUGGGUUUUCAAACUCAUCACAGAAGUCAUCCUUCCUUCCAGCAUCUUGUGAAGCUCACAACAGACACAGAAGACCACUCGCUGCUGAUGGUAUUGUAAAACUACCUGGUCUCUGACUUUAUUUUUUGGAUUUUGAUAAUCUGUGUAUAAAAUUCAAUUAGAAAUUUAUAUUUCUCAUGUACUAUUGGUUUUCUGAGUUAGGAUUAGAUUUGAUCAUACUCAUAAUUCCUUGUUUUCUAUACAUGAGAUUAUAUCUUUUACAAAAUUUACAAAAUUAUUUUCCUUCCCUUAUGCAUCACAUACUUUAGAAGCAUAAUGCCUAAUAUUAUAUUCUUUUAUAAUUUUCCCUAGGAUGCCAUCAUUUUUUUUCUUCAUCUUCUCUCAGAUUCACCUCAAGUGCAAAUUUCAUAUACACUAGGAUAAUUGUGAGUCUAUCUGACUAACUCCCACAUUAUCUAUCCCUUUCUCCACUACCACAAAUAGAAUAAAAUAAAAUAAAUGAAAAUCAAAAUAACAAUCCAAAGAUGCUAAGAUAAAAAUAUCAAAAUAAAAUGAACAGCAGCAAAAAAGUCUUCUGAUAUAGAAAAUGAAACAAAAAUGUCUGUUUUUAUGUUUUUCAGCUAUUCCUGUUGCUUUGUCCUGAUCUUGAAUGUGUUUGAUAUAAUCAGUGACAUUCUUUUUGAAUAGAUUGAUUUUUUCUUCCCUAUCAACAGACACUAAUUGCAAAUUGCUCCUUUGUUAGGGGUUGCACUUUGUCUCCUUUCCCUUCUCAUAGCUGGAAUUUUGUGUGGAUUUGACCUAUGCAGCUUUGUUUCUGCUGCCACAUUCUCUGGGAGUUCCUAUGUCAAUCAGGCCUGUUGUAUGGAAAGCAUUAUUUCUUAUGAGUAAUUCAACCCCCUCACACUUAUCUUUCUGUUUUUUCUUCCACAUAGAUCCAACAGUCUUGUGAAGAGUUUAAUGAAGACCCAUUCAACAGCUAGUGCUGCACUGAACUGAUUUAUGAGUAUAACAGUAUAUUGAGUCUUACUGUGCUGUUCACUGAGUUCUCAAAUCAUCCCUGAAACCAUGCCUCCUCUCAGCUUCCUGAGAAGUUCACAGUACAGAUGCAGACCAACACAUUCAGCUGAUGAUGUAAUGUGGACUUCUGAUUCUGAAUCUCACGAUUGCUGCUCACUGGGUUUUCAAAGCCAUCACACUAGCCAUCCUUCCUUCCAGCAUCUUGCGAAGCUCACAACAGACACAGAACAUGCUGAUGGAGCCUAGCAUGACUGCCCUCAAGAAACACAAAAAAAGAUGCUGGAAGUGUCAGAUGAAGAUAUUUCCACCCAUGCAAUGGACAUAGGAUAAAGUCCCCAGUGGUAGAAUUUGGAAAAGCUGGAAGAAGCUGAUGAGAAAGGCAACACUAUAGGAAGACCAGCAGUUUCACCUAACCUGGACCCCUGAGAUCUCUCAGACACUGAGCCACCAACCUGGCAGCAUACACCAGCUGAUAUGAGGCUCCUGACACAUAUACAUCAGAGCACUGCCUGGUCUGCACUCAGUUCCAGAAGAUGCACCUAGCCCUCAAGAGACUUGAGACCCCAGGGAGUGGAGAUGUCUGUUAGGAUGGGGGUUAUCUUUUGGAGAUGGGGAGGAGGUAUGGGAUGAGGGAGAGUCAAAGGACAGAAUGGGUGGGGUAUAAUGACAGGAGUGUAAGAAAAGAUUAUAGAAUAAUAAAAAAAGAUGACACUAUAGAUAGUAAAUAAAAUCAAGAAGUUUGUCCUAAUAUUUUUUAAUAUUGUUAUGUCUAGUGUUUAUGUGAAUGUUUCAAAGUAAUGAAGAGUUGAAUAAAUACAGUUCUGAAUGAUAUAAGAGACUAUCUCUGCUAGAGCAAUUCCGGUCAGUAAAGAUGCACUUUCUCAAAAAGCUGGAUAUAAUGGACAUCUCCAAAAAUGUUAUUUGAUGGUUAUUUCAGUUAUGAAAUCUCUUAUUUUACAGCAGGUUUUGAUUUUCAGUUCUAGGUUUGAGAUUGUUUUCAUAAUUGGUCCCUAAUCUACUCUUUAAUUGUAUGUACAGAGGCAACCAGAGAUAAUAUCAGUAUUUUUUUUUACUACAGAAUUGAUGCAAAGUAGACUUCAGAGUGCUCCAGACAAUAGCAAGGAGAAGAGUGUAAGCUGUUCCUCGGAGUAGGAGGAAUGCUCAGAAAAACUGCAGGAAACAUGAUCCUCCAGCUGAAGUCACUUCUCCUGCUGUCCCUGUCACAGUCUUGGACCAUGUAUCAUUUCCAAGGAAAAUGAUUUACUUCAGGAAUAAGUAUCUGACAAAACCAGGGUUGUGCUUCUCCUUGCACUUCUUGGGGAGUCUUGCUGUGCUGUUCACUCAGUUCUCAACUCAUUCCUGAAACCAUGCCUCCUCUCAGCUUCCUGAGAAGUUAACAGUACAGAUGCAGACCACCACGUUCAGCUGAUGGUACUGUAAAACAACUUUCUUUUCAACUUUCACUAUUAAGUUUUGAUUGCUUGUGUAUCUAUUUCAGUAGAAAAUGUAUGAACCAUUUCUGAUGACAAAUGAUUCUCUGAUCUAUGUGUAUAGAAUUAUGUCAUAAAUCACUUUAUUUUCUCCAUUUAGCAUAAUAAGAAAAGUAUUGUUUUACAUAGGCCAGAGACCUAUCUACUUUCAGAGUAUUGGACACUUACAAUAUGAGGUAUGUUUUUUAGCUCAUGAAGUUGACCACAAAUAUAUCAAAAUGUAGUUGAUUACUCUAAGAAUAUUUAUGGUGAUAUGACAAAAGUAUAUUUUGAUAACUUAUAUAUAUUAUAUUUUGCAGGGAUCAUCAUUAGUGAUAUUGAGGAAUUCUUUUUUUUUUCUGCAGUAGCAUAUAAGUAAACUUUUAGCCUCAUUAAGUGUAGUCAGCAACAAUGAAUCUCCGAAUUGAGCACCAGAUGGUUUUCUCCCAUUGUGAUGACACAAAUAAGUAAUAUCUUCAGCAGUUGGACAUUCCCUUCAGGUGGCAAAUAUUUAACCAUACCUUUGGUAAUUCUGUUUGAUGUUUCAAAGUAGAACUAUAAGACACUUGUAGCUAAUGACUCAACCAAAUAAUAAAUUGCUGGCAACAGAUAUAUCUAAGAUAUAAUUUCACAAUUUGAGAUCUGUAGUUGUGGUAGCAAUAUCUAUCUAAUAUAAUAUGAUACUAAUUCAAUCCUUUACAUACACACACAA